AAGUCGUAACAAGGUCUCCGUUGGUGAACCAGCGGAGGGAUCAUUGCUGGAACAAACGCCCUCACGGGUGCUACCCAGAAACCCUUUGUGAACUUAUAACUCGUUGCCUCGGCAGUGGUUGGCUUCGAACGAAGUCCCUUGCGCCCUCUGGGCACAAGGAGCAGACCGGCCGACGGCCCCUAUAAACUCUUGUUUUGUAAUAUCAUCUGAGUAAAACAACUAAAAUGAAUCAAAA
rnacentral:misc_RNA from 1 species